CAAUUACAGCAGCAAUGGACAUGCCACUGGAAGACCUGAAGGAACAGAAAAUCUAUGUAUGGGGUUGCUAAGAGUCAACACCAACUUGAUGGCCCUUGAUCAAUCAAUCAACCUGAAGUGGAUGUCUUGUACUUUGACAGUUAAUCCUGCAGAGUGGAAGGGAAGUGAAACAUCUGGCAGAAAAUAGAAGUUAUAGGUGGAGAAGGUUCUUCUUCACACCUGAAUUGGCUUUUUCAUAUGGAAGAGAAUUUGCUUGUGAAAUUUAUUUCAGAAGAGAAGAAAGCCUCAGUGGAAUUUUCAGAGGUGGAGUGUGACGCACCUAUCUAUUAAUUUAUUUAUUAAACAAAUUUAUAUAGCCACUCAUCUACCAAAAAGGAACUCUGGACUGUGAACAACAUAAAAAUACAACGCGAUAAAACAACCAUUUAAAACAAUAAGGUAUGUUGAGGUCCCAAUAAAAAUUCACAUCCAUUAACCAACCACAGGAUGAUGCCAGCUCCAUCAACAUCCUGGCCCCAGUGCCUGGGGGGAUAGGUAGGUCUUCACUGCUUUCAUGAAAGCCAACAGGGUUGAGAUUAUCAGUACCUCUGGGGUGGGGUGGGGAGUCUGUUCUAUAAGUCAGGUGCCAUGACAGAGAAGACCUGCUUCCAGGGCCCCAUCAGGCAAUACUGCUUCACUGAGAUGACCAAGGGGUGUGUGCGUUAAUGUCUUUUCUUUAAUUGCACAAUAAUCUUUCUAAUGGUCUACUGCCUUAUUUUCUUCCUAUGCUUCUAUUGUAUUAAACUUCAAGGAAAAAUAUCAUGAGGGCACUCCUUGCACAGACAGAGACUUCUUGGAUUGGUAAGUGUGAAUAUCUAGAAAGCUUUUGAGUGAUGGGUAAAAUACAGUAGCACCAUCUUCUCUCAUCUCCAACAGUAAAUAAGCUCAAGGACACCACCCAGGGAAAUUGUAAAGAAAUGUUCAAGCACACAGAGAAAAGGCUAGAAAAACGAAACUCCUUUUACAGGGGGAAAAGCUCUUUUGAGAAAUGCAAAUUAGAUUUCAGCACAGCAUUACCCCAGAUCCAUUCAUCAGUUUCAGUUACCAUAUGUGGUUUGUAAGCACAUCUGGCUUAUGUGACCUAAAGCAGUUCCCAAAUUGGAGCAGACUGAGUCUGAAUUUCAAAGAAAGAAAAAACAAUUCUGAACUAAAUUACUCAUUGUGACAUGAUUUCCUUUCUGGCCAUGGAUUUACUCAUUUAAUAGUAAAGCUAGAAAGAACCAGAAGAUCAUCAUGUUCAACCAUCUCCUCCAUUGCCUCCAAUAUAGACAGACUGACAGAAAUACAUGUGUGAUCUCAGAACAACUCACACAGAUAUCCAUCCACACAAGAUGCAAUGCAUAGAAAGUUAUUUCCAGGUGUUUGUUUUUAAGCCAUCUUUGAAGGAAAUCACCCCAUUUGAGAAUGAUUUUCUUCAGGACCAUAGAGAGAAUUGUUUCUUAAAGAAGCCAGAAAAUGAGAUUACAACACAGGAUAGGACUACAAGAUCUCAGGCACCAAAAUCUGGACAACCACAAGAUGGCAGGAUUUUUGCUGUUCAGUUUGGUAGCCUUAACACUGAAGUACAGUAUACAAGAAAAGGAUUCCUAUCAUUACCCUGCCACCCAUACCAGAACCACAAUUCUCAGCAUUCUUUGAGAAGAGAAUAACAGUUAAUCUACAGUAGA